CCUGGAGCCUGCUUCGCAUUCUGUGUCUCCCUCUCUCUCUCUCUGCCCCUCCCCUACCCCGACCCUGUCUCUCUCUCAAAAACAGACAUUAAAAAAAUCAAAACAGCGAACAAUGGAAAACUACUGACAUUCCAAACAGCUCAAAAAUUUGUAAGAGCUUACGAAAACAAUCCAGAAAUAACAACAGAAGAUGACUCAAUAAUUAUUUAACAGAAGCUGGUAGGAAAGUCUGUAGCCACAGAUACAGCAAAGCCCAGUGGCCAGGAAGCAGGGCCUUGGAGUCAUAAUGUCUGUGGUUCACCCCUGGCUCCACCUCCAGCUGGCGGAGGGUCUCAUUUUCCUCUCUGUGAAAUGGGGACAAUAUUAGUACCCACCUCCUGGGGUCCGGGCGGGGAUUUAAUGAGCUAAAACCUGGUGACACACCAAACACAAGCAGAUGUUCCUUUUCAAGUUAUCUACUUCCUGGUUUUCCCCAAAAGGACCUCAAGUGCAUCAGGAGGAAGAUCUACCCGAGCUCGUCCCCCACUGUAUACACCACAAAACAUGUCAACUAUGAAAAAGAAAACAGAUUAAAAGGUUUUGUUGCAUAUUUAUGAAAAAAAAAAAAAAAGGAAUCUCUUGAAUAAUUGGAGGGUAUGACAAGAUAAGUGGACUUAACAGAGGAGAAAAAACUUAAAAAAAAACCUAACCAAAAUAAGAUAAUAAACAUAAGAUGGAAAAAAGUAAUAAACAGAAUAAAAAUACUUAUAUCCAGAAUAUAUGAGUGAGAUAAAAGCUAAUACCCAGAUUUCCCUUAAUAAUAAGUGAUUGAAGAAAAAUAAUUUGUAUGAGGAAAUACAAACGGCAAGUGACAAAUCAGUCCUGCUGAUUAAUGAGACAAAUGGAAAUUAAGGUAGACGGUAUUCGGAGCGUGCUUUGGGCGUAUCUUGUAAAACAUGACUGAGGUUUCCCUUAAUUGCAGUCACAUUCUUUGGCUUAACUUCAGUGUCCUAAGCUGCAUAUUUCUGAUUCUUUCGGUACAACGAAUAAAUUGCAAUAAAGCUUGUUAUUCAACAGA